rnacentral:tRNA from 1 species
AAAGGAUUAGUUAAACUAUAAUGUUAGCUUGUCAAGCUAAAGUAACCUUUAGGGUAUCCUUUU